UACGUAGGGCGCAAGCGUUGUCCGGAAUUAUUGGGCGUAAAGAGCUCGUAGGCGGCCAGUUGCGUCUGCUGUGAAAUCCCGGGGCUCAACCCCAGGCGUGCAGUGGAUACGGGCUGGCUAGAGGCAGGCAGGGGAGAACGGAAUUCCCGGUGUAGCGGUGAAAUGCGCAGAUAUCGGGAGGAACACCGGUGGCGAAGGCGGUUCUCUGGGCCUGUACUGACGCUGAGGAGCGAAAGCGUGGGGAGCGAACAGGA
rnacentral:rRNA from 1 species